rnacentral:rRNA from 1 species
GAUGAACGCUGGCGGCGUGCCUAAUACAUGCAAGUCGAGCGAAUGGAUUAAGAGCUUGCUCUUAUGAAGUUAGCGGCGGACGGGUGAGUAACACGUGGGUAACCUGCCCAUAAGACUGGGAUAACUCCGGGAAACCGGGGCUAAUACCGGAUAACAUUUUGAACCGCAUGGUUCGAAAUUGAAAGGCGGCUUCGGCUGUCACUUAUGGAUGGACCCGCGUCGCAUUAGCUAGUUGGUGAGGUAACGGCUCACCAAGGCAACGAUGCGUAGCCGACCCGAGAGGGUCAUCGGCCACCCUGGGACUGAGACACGGCCCAGACUCCUACGGGAGGCAGCAGUAGGGAAGCGUCCGCAAUGGACGAAAGUCUGACGGAGCAACGCCGCGUGAGUGAUGAAGGCUUUCGGGUCGUAAAACUCUGUUGUUAGGGAAGAACAAGUGCUAGUUGAAUAAGCUGACACCUUGACGGUACCUAACCAGAAAGCCACGGCUAACUACGUGCCAGCCGCCGCGGUAA